AACGAACGCUGGCGGCAGGCUUAACACAUGCAAGUCGAACGCAUCUCUUCGGAGGUGAGUGGCAGACGGGUGAGUAACGCGUGGGAACGUGCCCUUUGGUUCGGGAUAACCCAGGGAAACUUGGGCUAAUACCGGAUAAGCCGGAAACGGGAAAGGUUUACUGCCGAAGGAUCGGCCCGCGUCGGAUUAGCUAGUUGGUGGGGUAACGGCCUACCAAGGCGACGAUCCGUAGCUGGUCUGAGAGGAUGAUCAGCCACACUGGGACUGAGACACGGCCCAGACUCCUACGGGAGGCAGCAGUGGGGAAUAUUGGACAAUGGGCGCAAGCCUGAUCCAGCCAUGCCGCGUGAGUGAAGAAGGCCCUAGGGUUGUAAAGCUCUUUCAGCGGGGACGAUAAUGACGGUACCCGCAGAAGAAGCCCGGCUAACUUCGUGCCAGCAGCCGCGGUAAUACGAAGGGGGCUAGCGUUGUUCGGAAUUACUGGGCGUAAAGCGCGCGUAGGCGGACGCUUAAGUCAGGGGUG
rnacentral:rRNA from 1 species